CAGCAGCCACGGUAAUACGGAGGGUGCAAGCGUUAAUCGGAAUUACUGGGCGUAAAGCGCACGCAGGCGGUCUGUUAAGUCAGAUGUGAAAUCCCCGGGCUUAACCUGGGAACUGCAUUUGAAACUGGCAGGCUUGAGUCUUGUAGAGGGGGGUAGAAUUCCAGGUGUAGCGGUGAAAUGCGUAGAGAUCUGGAGGAAUACCGGUGGCGAAGGCGGCCCCCUGGACAAAGACUGACGCUCAGGUGCGAAAGCGUGGGGAGCAAACAGGAUUAGAUACCCGGGUAGUCCCUGUCUCUUAUAA
rnacentral:rRNA from 1 species